rnacentral:rRNA from 1 species
UGUUAUCCGGAAUCACUGGGCGUAAAGCGUCUGUAGGUGGUUUAAUAAGUCAACUGUUAAAUCUUGAGGCUCAACCUCAAAAUCGCAGUCGAAACUAUUAGACUAGAGUAUAGUAGAGGUAAAGGGAAUUUCCAGUGGAGCGGUGAAAUGCGUAGAUAUUGGAAAGAACACCGAUGGCGAAAGCACUUUACUGGGCUAUUACUAACACUCAGAGACGAAAGCUAGGGUAGCAAAUGGGAUUAGAUACCCCAGUAGUCCUAGCCGUAAACUAUGGAUACUAGAUGUUGAACAGAUCGACCUGUGCAGUAUCAA